UAAAAAACGAUGAUGGAAAAAGUACGUAUUUGUGCGUGUAAAAGAAAGGGAUUUCUUGGCUGAAAAAAUCCUCACAAUAGCAAAUGCCGAAAGCUACUCCAGAGUGCAGUUAAUCCCUGCCGUUCACUUACGUUACAAGUGCUAAAGAGGUAAGUAUACUUUUACUUACAACUAGGGUGGUACCGCGAGACAAAUCAUAAGUCCUCGUCCCUUUA
rnacentral:ncRNA from 1 species